rnacentral:rRNA from 1 species
AAUCUUCCGCAAUGGACGCAAGUCUGACGGAGCAACGCCGCGUGAGUGAAGAAGGUUUUCGGAUCGUAAAGCUCUGUUGUGAGGGAAGAACAAGGAUGGGAGUAACUGUCUAUCCCUUGACGGUACCUCACCAGAAAGCCACGGCUAACUACGUGCCAGCAGCCGCGGUAAUACGUAGGUGGCAAGCGUUGUCCGGAAUUAUUGGGCGUAAAGCGCGCGCAGGCGGUCCUUUAAGUCUGAUGUGAAAUCUUGCGGCUUAACCGCAAGCGGUCAUUGGAAACUGGGGGACUUGAGUACAGAAGAGGAGAGUGGAAUUCCACGUGUAGCGGUGAAAUGCGUAGAGAUGUGGAGGAACACCAGUGGCGAAGGCGGCUCUCUGGUCUGUCACUGACGCUGAGGCGCGAAAGCGUGGGUAGCGAACAG